AUUGAACGCUGGCGGAAUGCUUUACACAUGCAAGUCGAACGGCAGCACGGAGAGCUUGCUCUCUGGUGGCGAGUGGCGAACGGGUGAGUAAUAUAUCGGAACGUGUCCAAUAAUGGGGGAUAACGAGUCGAAAGAUUCGCUAAUACCGCAUACGCCCUACGGGGGAAAGCAGGGGAUCGUAAGACCUUGCGUUAAUGGAGCGGCCGAUAUCUGAUUAGCUAGUUGGUGAGGUAAAGGCUCACCAAGGCGACGAUCAGUAGCUGGUUUGAGAGAACGACCAGCCACACUGGAACUGAGACACGGUCCAGACUCCUACGGGAGGCAGCAGUGGGGAAUUUUGGACAAUGGGGGCAACCCUGAUCCAGCCAUUCCGCGUGAGUGAAGAAGGCCUUCGGGUUGUAAAGCUCUUUCGCAAGGGAAGAAAACUUAUGAUCGAAUAAAUCAUGAGGUUGACGGUACCUUGAUAAGAAGCACCGGCUAACUACGUGCCAGCAGCCGCGGUAAUACGUAGGGUGCGAGCGUUAAUCGGAAUUACUGGGCGUAAAGCGUGCGCAGGCGGUUUUGUAAGUCGGAUGUGAAAUCCCCGGGCUCAACCUGGGAACUGCGUUCGAAACUGCAAGGCUAGAGUGUGUCAGAGGGGGGUAGAAUUCCACGUGUAGCAAGUGAAAUGCGUAGAGAUGUGGAGGGAAUACCAAUGGCGAAAGGCAGCCCCC
rnacentral:rRNA from 1 species